AACGAACGUUAGCGGCGCGCCUAACACAUGCAAGUCGCACGAGAAAGGGCUUCGGCCCCGGUACAGUGGCGCACGGGUGAGUAACACGUAGGUAAUCUUCCCUAGAGUGGUGGAUAACUCUCCGAAAGGGGAGCUAAUACAGCAUGAGACCACAGCAUCUCCGGAUGCAGCGGUCAAAGCAGGCCUCUACAUGUAAGCCCGCGCUCAAGGAUGAGCCUGCGGCCCAUCAGCUAGUUGGUGAGGUAACGGCCCACCAAGGCUAAGACGGGUAGCUGGUCUGAGAGGAUGAACAGCCACACUGGAACUGACACACGGUCCAGACUCCUACGGGAGGCAGCAGUGGGGAAUCUUGCGCAAUGGGCGAAAGCCUGACGCAGCGACGCCGCGUGAGCGAUGAAGGCCUUCGGGUUGUAAAGCUCUGUGGGGAGAGAAGAAUAAGGAUACGCUAACACCGUACUCGAUGACGGUAUCUCCUUAGCAAGCACCGGCUAACUCUGUGCCAGCAGCCGCAGUAAGAC
rnacentral:rRNA from 1 species